CCUACGGGAGGCAGCAGUAGGGAAUCUUCCGCAAUGGGCGAAAGCCUGACGGAGCAACGCCGCGUGAGUGAUGAAGGUCUUCGGAUCGUAAAACUCUGUUAUUAGGGAAGAACAAAUGUGUAAGUAACUAUGCACGUCUUGACGGUACCUAAUCAGAAAGCCACGGCUAACUACGUGCCAGCAGCCGCGGUAAUACGUAGGUGGCAAGCGUUAUCCGGAAUUAUUGGGCGUAAAGCGCGCGUAGGCGGUUUUUUAAGUCUGAUGUGAAAGCCCACGGCUCAACCGUGGAGGGUCAUUGGAAACUGGAAAACUUGAGUGCAGAAGAGGAAAGUGGAAUUCCAUGUGUAGCGGUGAAAUGCGCAGAGAUAUGGAGGAACACCAGUGGCGAAGGCGACUUUCUGGUCUGUAACUGACGCUGAUGUGCGAAAGCGUGGGGAUCAAACAGGAUUAGAUACCCUGGUAGUCCACGCCGUAAACGAUGAGUGCUAAGUGUUAGGGGGUUUCCGCCCCUUAGUGCUGCAGCUAACGCAUUAAGCACUCCGCCUGGGGAGUACGACCGCAAGGUUGAAACUCAAAUGAAAUUGACGG
rnacentral:rRNA from 1 species